UACGAAGGAUGCAAGCGUUAUCCGGAUUUAUUGGGUUUAAAGGGAGCGUAGGCGGUCUUAUAAGUCAGUGGUGAAAUCUUGUCGCUUAACGACAAACGUGCCAUUGAUACUGUAGGACUUGAGUACAGAUGCCGUUGGCGGAAUGUGUCAUGUAGCGGUGAAAUGCAUAGAUAUGACACAGAGCACCGAUUGCGAAGGCAGCUGACGAAACUGUAACUGACGCUGAGGCUCGAAAGCGUGGGGAUCAAACAGG
rnacentral:rRNA from 1 species